UUGGAGGGCAAGUCUGGUGCCAGCAGCCGCGGUAAUUCCAGCUCCAAUAGCGUAUAUUAAAGUUGUUGCAGUUAAAAAGCUCGUAGUUGAAUUUCGGGGUUAGUAGGUUGGUCAUGCCUCUGGUAUGUACUGGUCUCACUGAUUCCUCCUUCCUGAUGAGCCGUAAUGCCAUUAAUUUGGUGAUGCGGGGAAUUUGGACUGUUACUUUGAAAAAAUUAGAGUGUUUAAAGCAAGCUAACGCUUGAAUACAUUAGCAUGGAAUAAUGAAAUAGGACGUUCGAUCCUAUUUUGUUGGUUUCUAGGAUUGACGUAAUGAUUAAUAGGGAUAGUUGGGGGCAUUAGUAUUCAAUUGUCAGAGGUGAAAUUCUUGGAUUUAUUGAAGACUAACUACUGCGAAAGCAUUUGCCAAGGAUGUUUUCAUUAAUCAAGAACGAAAGUUAGGGGAUCGAAGACGAUCAGAUACCGUCGUAGUCUUAACCAUAAACUAUGCCGACUAGGGAUCGGAUGAUGUUAAUUUUUUAAUGACUCAUUCGGCGCCUUACGGGAAACA
rnacentral:rRNA from 1 species